UGUUGAAACACUGGUUCCCAUAUGAUCACUGAAGUUAAGCAACACUGAUUUGGUCAGUACCUAAAUGGGUAACCACUUUGGAAUACCUGAUGCUGUAAG